CCAGGCUACAGCCAUGCUGGACUGAGCGCCAGGGCAACCCAAGGCCAGGCUGCUGUCUGCUGGAUGGUUCACGUAAAACACUGGCACCGCCGAUGGCCGAGAGGCCGAACUACCACACACACAGGAUGGACCACAAACUCUGGAUCAAACCACGCUGGUGUUGGUGUCGUGUCACUGUAAUGAGCUCACCUGUAGCCAAGAAAUGUCAUCAGAGAGUCCAGUCUGGAAGGACGAGGGUCUGGAGGUGGACACGUUACUGUACAGCUCCGCACUUCUAACGUGGCCUCAACCCUCCUCUGCUCCAGGUGGACAAAGGCCCGAGGCACCGCCCUGGAGCCGCAUGAAGCCACCGUUUGGUUGGCUCGUCUGUAGCGCACGUGCAGGUAGUUGGACUGGAGGUAGCAGAGUCCCACGCGCACCUGCUCCCCAGCCACUCCACAGCGAUUGCACACUGACCAGGGCUGGAACCUGGUGAACACCUCAUACAGGGGCUGAGCUAAGCCAGCAGAGGCAGCUCUGUUUCUCAUGUCCUGCGUCUUGAGCCUGCAGAAAACCAGAGAUGGAUCACUGUGGUUUAGAUGCAGGUUGUCACCACCACUAGCCAAAGCUCAAUAAAUUCAAAUUGUCAGUCAUCAAUAAGUAUCAGCCCGUCUCCUCACCUUGAACUAGAUCUGAGCAUAUGCGCCUCCUGAAUGUCCAGGUCAUAACCGUAGAAGAAGUCUUUGUGGGCAGAGCCACACAUAUAGAUACCAGAGUCACCGGGAGCCGCCCUGAAGAUCAACAGGCUAAAGAGGCGGAUGGAGAAUCGACUACGCAGGUCAGCACUGUGAGGGAUGUGGCUUGUGUCCAGCACCUUGUUGCCAUGGUAAUCAGUCAAGGCUUUGGUCUCCGCAGAGUGUCCUAGAUGCUUCUUAAAGAACCACACAACGGACUGAACCUGAAAUGUACAGGAGACCAGAACACCAGAGAACUUCAUACAGGCCGAGAUUUCAGACAAAGAAAAUUUACUGAUGGUUAUUGUGAUUGAUAGAAACAUUGUAUUUCCAGUUGCAGCAGGCUAUGUUGAUGCUCUAUAAUAUUAGGACGCAGGAUGACCAGCUGUUACCUGGUGGGGUUUGCAGUGACAUGGGAGCUCCACCGUGGCUCCAGCCAGGUGGGCGGCGUUGGUGAAGGUCAGGAAGGCCGGACAGGCACGCGUAGCGAACACGUCCUGCGUCUCCUCAGGAGCCUCGUAGCUGCAGGCACUGGGCCAGAGCAGGAGGAGGACGAGUGGAGAGGAGACGGGAGAAAGCAUCAAAGCUUGAGGAGGACCUAAAGCAGCUGAGGAACAAAGCGCGUGUCAUUUCAAACAACAACAGAACCCUGUCACGUCGCGUUUAUGUAUUGAACCGCAUCAUUCUUGCUUUUAGCUGUUUCAAACUAACAUGUUUUUCUUCAGUUUGCUUUGGCCUUUGGUUGCUAUAGUAAUGUUUUCUGCACUGGCACAGAGUAAAAGUUCUGAUAUAUUGUAUAAAAACUAGAGCUCUAUAGUUUAGUCUUUCACAUCACAUAAACUUAUCAUGAGUAAAAGUAUUUGACUACUAAUACUAAAUCUAGAUGGGCCCUUUAAUUAUGCUACAAGAGAGGAGAAAUAAUAAAUUGUGAAUUAUAGUGGUUUUGAUGUUCACUAAUAUCCUUACACUAAACACCAACUGUGUAUUCUAAAUAGUUUUUAAUUCCAUAAUUGUACAAUGUUUAUUAUAUUUGUUUAAUAUUACAAUUUUCUGAUUUAAUUUAGUUUUUCAAUGUGAAUGUUUGGGAUAAUUUUCCCUAACGUGACUCAUUUAA